CUCUGUAGGUAACUUUUGCUGUCAUUCAGUUUCUUCUAAUGUGAAGUAAUUGGUACCCUUUAAAGCUAUGAUUUCAAAGUAUUCUCCCCAACACUGAACUAGCGAUUAUUAUGCUAUGUUUUCCAUUUUAAUUUGGCUGUGCUGACAAUAGUUUAGAAAUGGAAGGAGUAUGGCUGUUUCAGAUAACCACUAAAAACUACCAAGAAAGAAA